UACGGGGGGGGCAAGCGUUGUUCGGAAUUACUGGGCGUAAAGGGCUCGUAGGCGGCCAACUAAGUCAGACGUGAAAUCCCUCGGCUUAACCGGGGAACUGCGUCUGAUACUGGAUGGCUAGAGGUUGGGAGAGGGAUGCGGAAUUCCAGGUGUAGCGGUGAAAUGCGUAGAUAUCUGGAGGAACACCGGUGGCGAAGGCGGCUUGCUGGGCCAGUUCUGACGCUGAGGAGCGAAAGCGUGGGGAGCGAACAGG
rnacentral:rRNA from 1 species